UCUGCUUGCACCCUACAGCUGCGGAUCCUUCCAGAAUUUAGCCUCGGGUUGCAGUGCUGUGUGCAGAGCCCAGGCCACAGCUCACAGCCUGCGUGCUCUGCCCCGUUCCUGCACCUGGAGCCCCCUUCCCAGUGACACAGGUCCUCAUCGCCUUCAUAGUGGCCACUUCUGAGGCCUUUCCACCCUCUCUGGAUUCCAUUCUCACCUCCUCUCUCAUGGCACUCAGCACUCCGAUUUCUGUGACUUUCUUGAUCAUGCGUCUCCCCUGGUGCAGUGUGAGCUCCCUAAGGCCAGGGGUCUGUGCCCAGUCUGUGGUAUGUGGUGGAGCCCCAGUGAGUAAGAGUUCAUGGCUAAACUCCAACAUUAUUGGGAGAGUCCCUACUUCAUUGACUUGGAAGCUGAGCCACAAAGGACUCUGUGAUGUGCCCAUGUCCGCAAGCAGGACAUAGAGCCACAUUCGGGGGACCCAGACCCCCCAGUCACUGCCAGAUCCCACCCCUCAAGCGUGCCUGGUACCCUCCUGGCAUUUCUCCCCUCCCAACCCUCGCAUGUGCCCACUACGGGAACAGGGCCUUCCAUUGUCCCCUUGGCUCCCAGCGCAUGGUCAGAGCUCAGGAAAUGCAGAGUGUGGGCAGAGGGAGGGACAGAUGGUGAGGGUGCCCCUGUCUGUCCACAGGCCCGGGAGGUCAAGCGGGAGGCCCUGGAGUGCAGCCUCAAGUUCGUCGGCUUCAUUGUGGUCUCCUGCCCGCUCAAGGCUGACUCCAAGGCCGUGAUCCGGGAGAUCCAGAAUGCGUCCCACCGGGUGGUCAUGAUCACGGGAGACAACCCGCUCACUGCAUGCCACGUGGCCCAGGAGCUGCACUUCAUUGAAAAGGCCCACACGCUGAUCCUGCAGCCUCCUUCUGAGAAAGGUGAGGCCCUAGCCUGGCCCACAGUGGGGAAGGGGGACCCUGAGUCCAAGAACAGCUCCCAUCGCAACAGCCCACCUGUGUACCAGGCCUCAGCAGCACAGUGUCUUCAAAUGCCUGGCACCACUAAUCACAGCCCUGGCCCACUGGGCACCUCGGACAGCAUGUGAGCGUUCACUGGGUCACAGGUCCCAGGAUGUGCGGCAUGUAGGUGUUUAUUUACCAUAAUGAGGCGAUAGUCUGACUGCCAGCUCGGGUUUCCUGUGCACUCAUGGGCAGAUACUGCUCCUACCACGCUUACUCCCCAUCCUCAGUGUCAUCCUCAUUUCAUACCCUCUUUGGCCCGGCAAGCUGCCCAUGUACCGAGUGCUCCCUUCCCGAGCACAGGGACUGCUGGCAUCCUCAGCCACAGUUGAUGGCACAGUUUGCCCAGUGCUCAGCCUGACCAGACCCCAGGCGGAGCGCUCCGUGCGUGUUACUGCGUUGGUCCCUCCACCCCAUCCUGCACCACACGGAGUGGCUUGCCUUCCCCACACCACGGAGGAGGAAGCUGGCUGGGUCAGCUCUCGGGGCCCCUGCUUUGUAGAGAAGGGACAGAGGCUCAGAAGUGAACCCACUUGCCCAGGUCACUUCCAAUCCAUGGCUAAGGAUUGGAAUCCAGACAGCCUGAUUCCAGAGCUCAAGGCUCCAUCCUCUCCCCGGUGACCUCUUUGAGCAAUGCCCUGGAUUCAGAUUGAUGAAGAGGCAGACAUAGAGACCCAGCCCCUCCCAGCUAGAGGUGUGGGGCUUACCAGAUACCUGCCCCAGAGCUAGAGGUGAAGCCCCUGUGGGCGCACACAGUUCAGGACCUGCAUGAGUGUUGACAGGGACCUAAGAAGAACCACAUGGAGCAGUGUUGCCACAGGGCUGCUGGCAGCAAACAUUCACAGGUCUGGGCCAGAGCGGCUUCCGGAACCUCCAGGCCACCUCUCAGAGGACUCGGUCCCUGCCCUCCCUCUGUUCUAUUGGUCGCAGGCCUCCCCCUGUCCCAGCCCCAGCUACCGGGGUCUUCCAGGGCCUGGGGAUUGUGGGCAGGUGGCAUGGAGCGGAUGAGCAGGACUGUUGAUUGACAAGCGAAGCUGGUCUAGCAACAGCUGCAGCACAAGCCAGGUGGAAGUGUGCUGCCCUUCAGCUUGAGACGGUCCAGGGUGAGCAGGCAGUGCCAGGAGGGCUGGCGGGCCGCCCUUGGCCAUCCUCAGCGCCCAGCAUCCAAGCCAGGGCCAGCCAGCAAGAAAGGGGAAGUGGAGCAAGAAGAUGUUGAGAACUCAGGGGCCCUGUCAGAGUUGGGAGGGGGCCCAGCCCCGAGAAAACAGGAUUUCAGAGAGGCCACGGGCGCAGGGAUAAAUGAGGUGAGGGCCUGGUGUGGGGUUUCCCAAGGAGAGUGCAAUAGCCCCCUUCUGUGUGUUUCAGGUUAGGGGGCCUUGCAUGAGGUGGGGGCAUGGCUUAGCUGGGGUCAGACUGCCCAGGUUCUAAUCUGGCUGUGUCCCGGGCUCUCAGGCAAGUAGCUCAGGCCCCAGGCUCUUGGUUCCACCCUGUGCACCUGAGGGACAUUCUUUGUGGAGUCCCCAGAGAAGGGCUGGGGGUCACCUGGGUGGGUAGGGAGGUGCGGGCUCCAGAGAGGAGAGACUGGCUGGUGCUGGGGUCCGAGUGGAGGGAGGGUGCUUCUGAGCCCGGUCAGCCAAGCCCCCAGCCCUAACCCUAGGUGCUGCCCGCAGGCCGGCAGUGCGAGUGGCGCUCCAUUGACGGCAGCAUCGUGCUGCCCCUGGCCCGGGGCUCCCCAAAGGCACUGGCCCUGGAGUACGCACUGUGCCUCACAGGCGACGGCUUGGCCCACCUGCAGGCCACCGACCCCCAGCAGCUGCUCCGCCUCAUCCCCCAUGUGCAGGUGUUCGCCCGUGUGGCCCCCAAGCAGAAGGUAUGUGCACAGCCCUAGGGGUCAGGGGCACAGAGGUAGGCACGCAGACCCUGCUCAGCCUGUCUCCGCCCAUACAGGAGUUUGUCAUCACCAGCCUGAAGGAGCUGGGCUACGUGACCCUCAUGUGUGGGGAUGGCACCAACGACGUGGGCGCCCUGAAGCAUGCUGACGUGGGUGUGGCGCUCUUGGCCAAUGCCCCUGAGCGAGUUGUCGAGCGGCGACGGCGGCCCCGGGACAGCCCAACUCUGAGCAACAGUGGCAUCAGAGCCACCUCCAGGACAGCCAAGCAGCGGUCGGGGCUCCCUUCCUCCGAGGAGCAGCCAACCUCCCAGAGGGUGAGUCCCAAGAGGGGAGGUGCUGCACCCCAUCCUGGCCAGGGCUGACAGCCUGCUGUCUACCCUGCAGGACCGCCUGAGCCAGGUGCUGCGAGACCUCGAGGACGAGAGUACGCCCAUUGUGAAACUGGGGGAUGCCAGCAUCGCAGCACCCUUCACCUCCAAGCUCUCAUCCAUCCAGUGCAUCUGCCACGUGAUCAAGCAGGGCCGCUGCACGCUGGUGACCACACUACAGAUGUUCAAGAUCCUGGCGCUCAAUGCCCUCAUCCUGGCCUACAGCCAGAGCGUCCUCUACCUGGAGGGAGUCAAGUUCAGUGACUUCCAGGCCACCCUACAGGGGCUGCUGCUGGCCGGCUGCUUCCUCUUCAUCUCCCGUUCCAAGCCCCUCAAGACCCUCUCCCGAGAACGGCCCCUGCCCAACAUCUUCAACCUGUACACCAUCCUCACCGUCAUGCUCCAGUUCUUUGUGCACUUCCUGAGCCUUGUCUACCUGUACCGUGAGGCCCAGGCCCGGAGCCCCGAGAAGCAGGAGCAGUUCGUGGACUUGUACAAGGAGUUUGAGCCAAGCCUGGUCAACAGCACCGUCUACAUCAUGGCCAUGGCCAUGCAGAUGGCCACCUUCGCCAUCAAUUACAAAGUAAGGCCUGGGCCCUGCCCAAACAUUCACUGUCUGCCCACCCAGCCCCACCCCAUGAAGCCAUCUGUCCCUCAUCCCCACAGGGCCCGCCCUUCAUGGAGAGCCUGCCCGAGAACAAGCCCCUGGUGUGGAGUCUGGCAGUUUCACUCCUGGCCAUCAUUGGCCUGCUCCUCGGCUCCUCGCCCGACUUCAACAGCCAGUUUGGCCUCGUGGACAUCCCUGUGGAGUUCAAGCUGGUCAUUGCCCAGGUCCUGCUCCUGGACUUCUGCCUGGCGCUCCUGGCCGACCGCGUCCUGCAGUUCUUCCUGGGGACCCCGAAGCUGAAAGUGCCUUCCUGAGAUGGCAGUGCUGGUACCCACUGCCCACCCUGGCUGCCGCUGGGCGGGAACCCCACCAGGGCCCCGGGAGGGAACCCUGCCCCCAACCCCCCACAGCAAGGCUGUACAGUCUCGCCCUUGGAAGACUGAGCUGGGACCCCCACAGCCAUCCGCUGGCUUGGCCAGCAGAACCAGCCCCAAGCCAGCACCUUUGGUAAAUAAAGCAGCAUCUGAGAUUUU
rnacentral:sRNA from 1 species